rnacentral:rRNA from 1 species
UACGAAGGGUGCAAGCGUUACUCGGAAUUACUGGGCGUAAAGCGUGCGUAGGUGGUUGUUUAAGUCUGUUGUGAAAGCCCUGGGCUCAACCUGGGAAUUGCAGUGGAUACUGGGCGACUAGAGUGUGGUAGAGGGUAGUGGAAUUCCCGGUGUAGUGGUGAAAUGCGUAGAUAUCGGGAGGAACACCAGUGGCGAAGGCGACUACCUGGCCUGUUCUUGACGCUGAGGCGCGAAAGCUAGGGGAGCAAACGGG